rnacentral:rRNA from 1 species
CCUACGGGUGGCUGCAGUGAGGAAUAUUGGUCAAUGGACGAGAGUCUGAACCAGCCAAGUAGCGUGAAGGAUGACUGCCCUAUGGGUUGUAAACUUCUUUUAUAAAGGAAUAAAACGAGGCACGUGUGCCUUUUUGCAUGUACUUUAUGAAUAAGGAUCGGCUAACUCCGUGCCAGCAGCCGCGGUAAUGCGGAGGACCCGAGCGUUAUCCGGAUUUAUUGGGUUUAAAGGGAGCGUAGAUGGGUUGUUAAGUCAGUUGUGAAAGUUUGCGGCUCAACCGUAAAAUUGCAAUUGAUACUGGCAGUCUUGAGUACAGGUGAGGUAGGCGGAAUUCGUGGUGUAGCGGUGAAAUGCUUAGAUAUCACGAAGAACCCCGAUUGCGAAGGCAGCUUACCGGCGCCCUACUGACGCUGAGGCACGAAAGUGCGGGUAUCGAACAGGAUUAGAUACCCGGGUAGUC